GGUUUCUCCAUGUUGGCCAGACUAGUCUCAAACUCCUGACCUCAGGUGAUCUACCUGCCUCAGCCUCCCAAAGUGAUGGGAUUACAGAUGUGAGCCACUGUGCCAGGUCUAAAUUUUAUUUUUGGAUUGUCUAUUGUUAGCAUAUAGAAACACAGUUGAUUUUUAUAUAUUAAUUAUAUCUUGCAACCUUGCUGAGCUCAUUUAUUACUUCUAGUAGGUGAAAUUAUUCCUAAAUCAGCUUGUUUUUAAGCUUGUUAAAGUGGGUCUGGAGUUGUCCUUAUUUUCUCAUAACUCUUUAAAAAAAAAAAUCAACCAGCCCUCUAAUAACCUUUUCUUAAGGUAUAACCUCUCUGGGAUUGAAUUUAAUGCCAUGGGCAAUCAAUAAGAACUCUCCAGUUUUGCUAGUUUAGAAUUUGAAUAACUUCUAGCACAGUGUGACCUCCAAAAUCUCCAUUCAGCUCACAGCUUUCUGGUAGUUAUUCUAAUAAUAAGUGUUGACAAGGACAUGGAGAAAUUGGAAUCCUUGUGCGCUGUUGGUGGGAAUGUAAAACAGUACAGCUGCUGUGGAAAACAGUAUGGUAGUUCCUUUAAAAAUCGAAAAUGGAAUUACCAUAUGGUCCAGCACUUUUACUUCUGGGUAUAUACCCCAAAGAAUUUAAAGCAGGAUCUCAAAGAGAAAUGUGUAUACUUACAUUCAUAGCAGCAUUAUUCACAUAGCUAAAACCUGGAAGCAACCCAAAUUUCCAUCUAUGGAUGAAUGGAUACACAAAAUGUGGUAUGUACAUACAAUGGAAUAUUAGUCUUAAAAAGGAAGGAAAUUGUGACACAUGCUACAAAAUGGAUGAACCUGGAGGAGGUUUAUGUUAAGUGAAGUAAACCAGUCACAAAAAAACAAAUACUGUAUGAUUCCACUUACAUGAAGUACUUAGAGUAGUCAAAAUCAUAGACACAGAAAGUAGAAUGGUCGUUGGGGCUGAAGAGAGGAGGAAUGAAGAGUUAUGGUUUAAUGGGGUAGAGUUUCAGUUUUACAAGGUGAAAAUAGUUCUGGAGAUGGAUGCUGGUGAUGGUUGUACAACAUUAUGAAUGUAUUUAAUACUGAUGAAUUGUACAUUUAAAAAUGGUUAAGAUUCUAAAUUGUAUGUUAUGUGUAUUUUACUAAAAUGAGAAAGAGUAGAGGAAAAAAAUCUCUCUAAGCAUCCAGGUCUAAAAAGUUUACCAGAUUAGUUUAUGAUACACCAAACAAACUCCAGAUAGACUAAAUCUAUGCUAAAUAUUUUUAAUCUCAUAGAAAAAUUAGGAAUAGGGAAUGGAAGUAGAUACUGAUAAAAGUGCUUGAACUCUGAAGCAGUAAAAGAGAGCUGGAAUGAAUUUUUAUGAUCACAUUUAAAA
rnacentral:lncRNA from 1 species